UACGUAGGCAGCAAGCGUUGUUCGGAAUUACUGGGCGUAAAGAGUGUGUAGGUGGUGUCGUAAGUUUGGUGUGAAAUCUCCCGGCUUAACUGGGAGGGUGCGCCGAAGACUGCGAUGCUGGAGUAUGGGAGAGGAAAGCGGAAUUCCUGGUGUAGCGGUGAAAUGCGUAGAUAUCGGGAGGAACACCUGUGGCGAAAGCGGCUCACUGGACCAUAACUGACGCUGAUGCACGAAAGCUGGGGGAGCAAACAGG
rnacentral:rRNA from 1 species